UUGGACUUGCUUUCUCACACUAAAGAUUACAUAGCCUAAUGGUAAUUCUUUGAAGUCACUUCCAAGUGCUCCAAGGUUCCAUCCUCCAUAGAAGCAUUUUGUAGGGUAAUUUUUUCCACUAUAAAAUUUCCUUUUUUUUUUAACUAUCCAUGCUUGCAUUGUAGUGAGUACAAGGUGCUUUCGCUUAGGAGGUCAUCCUCGCAACUUCAAAGGUCCAUCUCGCUCAUAUCCAGGGGCUUGUUUCCACGUACUCUAGGGCCUUCCCUCGCAUACCCAAGGUCUCAUUCAUACACAUCCAGGUAUGCUUCUAUUGACAGCAGGAACUCCUCAACUAAGUUAGAUUGAGAACUUUGUGAGUUAAAAGAAAUAGAAUCAAAUCAAAUGAACUUCAAGCAAACUUUCUUAUGAUUUCCAGAGCACAAAAAUGUAAGGGCUGAAAUUUCAAAAUGAAAAGUAGAAAGGAUGUGUAAUGUCUAUUCCCAUUAACAAUGUGUGGUUACAAAAUUCUCUCUCAAAUCUCCCCCCUUCUCAGGUGAAGGGAGGUCGCAUUUAUAGUAGAACACUAUUGGCUCAUUAUACAUGGUGGUCCCUGGGGACAUGACCCUGCAUAUGCAGUCUAUAGAUAGUAGUGGUGCCAGGAGCGUGGUGGUCGGCUCCAGUACAUGUUCAUGGUCUACGGGGGCACCUCCACUUUAGUACUUAGUUACACCUCCACCAUCUGUUUAGUAUGAACGUCAGAGGUUGGCUGGGAAGGACCACAUCCGGUACCCUAUUCGUACGACCACUACUUGUCUGGCGUGGUCUUUAGGCUCAGACACCUAGGGCAUUCAAAGGCGUACCCCCGUACGUACUUUAUAACCCUAUGGUCUCUUUUGAGUCACUUGUGGCUUUUCUUAUACUGAUCAUGCACCCUGCUCUCUUAAACUUUAAGUGUGGGAAAGCUUGCACGCCAUCAUGAAUAACAUACCUAGCUACCUUCACCAAUUCUAGCUUGCUACCAAAUGAUGGUUGGGCCCUUAUUGGUUCCCCUCAUAUGACGAGGCAAGGCGCCUUUCACGGAUCUCCAUCCAGGCAAGACAUGGGGUCUUGCAUGGACCCUUGAGUGCAAGGCACAUCAUCUCACAUGGCGAGGCAUGCGUUGGCAAGUGGCAUGUGGCCCUAUGUGUGAGGUGUUAGGCGUGGCUGAGGCAAUCUCCGUGAGGCCCUUGGCGCGAGGCCCUUGGCGUGAGGCCAUGGUGCGCUUGGUGCGAGGCCCUUCUUGUGAGACCCUCGGCGCGAGUCCAUGGUUCGCUUGGUGCGAGGCCAUGGUGUGCUUGGUGCGAGGCCCUUCUUGCGAGACCCUCAACGCGAGGACAUGGUGCGCUUGGUGUGAGGCCCUUGGUGCGCUUGGCGCGAGGCGCUGGGCACGCGUGCGAGAUGCCUGAUGCGCUCGAGGUGCUGGGUGUCACGGGCCGGCUAUUUGGGUAUUCCAACUAGACGGAACGUGCGACACUUGCAGACUCUUCAAGCUAGCAAGUCAGCCUACAACACACACCUACAGGCAAACAAACUCAGCGGUUAGCCACAUACACAUCUCGGACAUGCAACGGGCGAUAACGAAGUAUGAGCAAGCACAAAGCAAGUCAUUCCUAGGAACGUCCACACAACACAAAGCACACAGCAAGGCAAGUGGCACACAAUGGCCCAACGAAGGUAACAAACAAGUAACACAUAAGCAACAAGGAAGCACACAGGGGCAAGUAUGGAUAAAUGUUAUUUCAUUAAUAUAUAGCCUUGAUAGGGCAAGGGAGUACACAGCUUUGGCCCCUAUCUGCUGAUGGCCAUGGUGCUUCCCUUAGUCACCAGGUCACCUCCCCCUAAGGAGCCUUCUAGGGAAAUAAAGUCUUCCCAGGAACAUAUAUGAUUUUUGUCUGGGAGACAUAUGCAAUAUUACAAAACUGCCACUACCCUAUCCCAUGAGGUUGCUUGGUGCAAGACUUGACUAAUGAUCAAGCACCAAGGCAUGCUCAUUACAAAAUGGCCCCAUGUGGGUGUGCCAAAGGGGCAGCACGCCACACUGGGCGCGCGCGUGAGACGCCUGAUGUACGCGAGACGUUAGGCGCGCAUUAGGCACCUGAUGCGUGCGAGACGCUGGGUGAGCGCGUGAGACGCCAAAUGCGCGUGAGGCGCCUGGUGUGCGUGUGGCUCCAGGGACGUGCGAGGUGACGGGUGCGCACGAGGUGCUUGAUACCUUUUAUGAUAUUCUUGCAAUGCGAGUGGGCCUCACUCAUCGACGGAGUGGACCUUAUGGGACUUUAGACAUGAUUGCGUUGUUCCAUCAAGGGACCUUAGACAAGUGAUGUGGGUCCUUUACCGGUGUGGAAUUUUUAGCAUCCACACUUGCCCCCCAUUUUAUGAGAGGGUCUUCAGGCUCUCUGGUAGACUUCAAGAUGCGAUGUUUUUGGGAUGCCCACAAGGUAUUAGCUUGCUUCUUCAUUUUGACAUUAUAGAAAAACAUACUUUGGAGUUGAAGACAAUUAUUAGAUUUUGAGAGUGAAUGCGAGCCUAUCAUUGUGCUCUGCGGAUCCCAUGGAAAGUGCUAAGCCCCCCACUUGAUAUGAACAAGCAAUGGAUCCAAUGGCUAAGGUGAGUUUGUGGUUCUUAUAAAUAGACCUUAAUCUCAAGCAUAAUAUUUACAUUUUCUCUUCUUAGCUUGGUGGUUUUAGUUUUUUCACUUCCUCAAAGAGGUAAGGGGUUCGAUUCCUCACAAACUCAUUUUGGUUGUCUUUCCUCUUUAUUAUUUAAAUUCCUUUCUUUUAUGCAAAUGUCCAUAUAGGUGCUUGGAGACUAAAACACCUUUCCCCUUUAUUUUUGCAGACGCAUACUUUCUACCCUUUGCAUUUCUUCGACCGCGACGGUGCUUUCGACCCUCAACCUCCUUUCGACCGCGACCGUGCUUUUGACCCUUGGCCUUCUUUCGACCGUGACGGUGCUCAAUUUUACUUACUCAAGGUAUAAUUUCUUUCUUUCUUAUGUUCAAUGGGUAUAAAUUAGCAUUACUCGAGAUGGGUUCCCUUGGUCGGAGCUCCUCGUGAGCUAAUCCACGCACAUGCCCUUGCUUGUACCUCAUAGUUGGUCAUUUCGAGCGCUUGUGUCUAAAGGUUUUGAGCUUAUUCCUUUGUGUUUUGUAGCAUCCCCUUCACCUACACGUGCACCCUUAUUACCUACGAGAUGAGGUUCCAUGGCAUGUGAGGGAUCGUUUGGCGUUCCUCCGGGGGUCGAGUUUGUAGACUUAUCUUCAGACUCGGGGUCCCUCGAAAACAACCUUUACCAAGACUAUGACACUUUGAGGAAGGCCCGUAUAUGCCACCUUGAGCACAUGGCCAAGCUUAGGCGUAAAAUCUGGGUGGUGGAGAGCAAAAUAGAUUCGGUUUUGAGGGGUGAUGGAGUCCCUUUCCCCUUUGACCUUAGUGACCAUAUUGCAACCUUAGAGUAAGCCUUUUUGAUCUACAAAUGGAGUUGGAGUUCAUGGAGGGAAACCUCCCACCUGAACCUCCUGCCCCGUUCUCCCCUUAUAGUUGCCAUGAGGUCACCUCGGGUUCCCCUCAACCCUUGUCUUCAAUCCACCAUUGUUCAGUGCUUCCACACUCAACGCCUCGGUGGAAGACUCUUGCUAGAAAGAAAAAAUGGAGGGUAAAGUGCCCUGUUUUGACCUCAUCUUUUUCCUUGGAUUUGCAGAUAUGUUGAAGAGAGUGCGGUGACAGGUGGCUCCCGAGGGGCCAGAUUCUGGUCCUCUGUUGGCAUCUACUAUCGUGUCCAACAUGUUGGAGAACCGGCUCUUGGAGUUAUUCGAGAAAUACCAUAUUGGCAAGGAGUACAAGCUGUAUGUUCCUUCCAACAAGUUCCGGGCCGAUAAUCCCCCCCCCCCCCCCAGGGGUACGUGGCCUUGAAUGAGCACAUCCUGAAGGCGGGUGGAACCAUUCCCUUACACCCGUUCUUUGUCAUGGUCCUUAAUCAUUUCGACCUUGCUCCACUCCAGCUGGUGCCUAACAGCCGGUUGACUUUGAGCUGCCUAUACAUGGCGUUUAUGGAGCUUAACCGCUGUGCUCCUAUGGUUCAAGAGGUGCACUUUAUGUACAACCUAAUGCCCACCCCUAAAUCCAAAGGCUUCUAUUUUAUGCAGAAAGCCAAUUCUCAGGUCUCCCUGAUAGAGGGUUCUGUGUCCAACCCAGGGUCCUGGAAGCAUGACUUUUUCUUCAUGAAAGGUCCCAUUUUUGUACGUGAAACUUUUCGCUCAUCCCUAAAGAGCUUUAUUGUCCUCGACAUUCCUGAGUCGGAGGCAGCACCAGUGGACAUCUUUCUCGAUGCCGAACCCGCUAAAAAGAGGGCCACCCGUUUAUUCACCAUGGCCAAUCUUAAUCUCUAUUGUUUAUCCACGGUUUUGGAGCCUAAUUCGUUGUGGCAUAUUUUCAAAUGAAGGAAGAAGGAGACUCUAGUCGAGCCUCACUCGGACGGGGGUGAUGUGCAAUGGGUGCCUGAGGAGGUUUCCCCAGAAUCUAGACGCCCACCCCGGUCUUCUCCGUCCCCUAGGUUAGUCCUCCUUUGGUUCCUAUGGACCGCGAUAUGGCCUCUCAUUCCCGCGGUCUGCAGGCCAUGCCAGGGUGCUUCGUCGUGCCCUUCUCUAAGGAAUAUGAUACUCUUCCUCAUGCUCCCAUCAAUCUUGGUCCUUCGGGGCCCCAUUUUUCCAGUGUUCCCGCGCCUCCUCCUCCUUCGGUGAGUGGGUCAUCUGUCCCUACUCAGCCGGGCACCCCCGAUUUGGAGGGGACACCCUAGGUGGGUCGUAUGGCGGCCUCUUAUGGGAAAAGAUAUACCCGGGUUGCCGAGAGUAUUCCUGAGACCAAGUGGAGAGGUCUCGGGAAAUUUAACAUGAAAGAGCUUGGGGAGACCCUUAUGCGCUCCAUAACCUGGGCUUCUUUGGUGGCUCAACGCUUUGCCGAAUCGACACAAGACCUCUCUUCGUCGAACGAUGAAAGAGACUGUCUAGCGGUCAGAGUUCAAGAGCUUGAGAGGGAGCUUACUGACACCAAGCUUAAGCUGGAGAAGGCCCUGGCAAAGGCCUCUUCAUCAUCAAAAAAGAGGAGGAGGGCAGAAGCCAAGGUGGCGAUGUUGUAGGAGAGGGUCACUCGCCUGGACGCUGAUCUGGGGGGAGCGGAAGUCAAGGCUGCGACGUCGCAGCAGAGGGUCACUCUCCUAGAGGCGAAUUUGGCAGAGGUCGAGUACAAGUCCAUAGAGAACACCCUCUAUGGAGUGUGGAGACAAAAUCCUAACUUCGAUUUCUCCUCCUUUGGUGAGCAUGCAGUCGCCAAGGUGGCCGAGUGGAAUGCUCGCGACGGGAGGCCUUGAGAUUUUUCUUUUGCAGUUUUUAUCAUUUAACUCGAUUUGGUUGUAUGAUCAUUUGAGCCUAUCCUUUUUUUCGGAACUUUUCUAAGUCCUGCCACAUUAUCACAACUUUUUUUAUAUAUAAAUGUGAUCAUUUGUUUUGGCUUUUAUAUGCUUGAGGUCCUUUUGAGCCUGCAAAAAGGGGUUCGAUAGGUCUUUUUUUUUUUACUUUUUAUUUAUUAUGCUUGAGGUCCUUUUGAGCCUCCGCGAAGGGGUUCGAUAGGUCUCUCUUUGGUGCACCUUGAUUGUAUCUAUAAGGAUAUGUUGAUCCUUUGAGUUCUAGUCAUCCUUUUAUAUACUUUUGCACGCGCUUAUUAUUUCUUGCGAGAAGUGUCAUUCUCGUCAUUAUGCAUAUUACUAUUUUUUCAAGGGUCUCUUUCAGGACCCUAUUUGGUUAGAUGGCUAGGUGGCCGCUCUAGACUUAUUGGUGGAUGCUCUUCCUGAGGCCUUUCCUCUCAUGGAGGUAUCAACCUUUAUUAGGAGGCUUUUCUUGUAGGACUUUUUAAACCUUCUUGAUGUUCAUAAGGGUAGCUAGUCCUCGUGAACUCAAGAGGUGCCUUGCGAGGUCCUACUCCUUGUUUAUUAGAGUCUUUUUAUAUAUAUAAGGGUCUCUUUUAGGACCCUUUUUUGGUUGUAUACUCUGCCUCCAAGUGGUUGGCGAGAUUUAUCUCGUCGGGCACUUUGAUCAUUUUGCUCAUGCAUUUUGAUAAUUAUUGAAAAUGAGAGUUAGAUUGUGUGAUCAUUCUGCUCAUACACAAGAGUUCCUACUACAUAUUCAUUGGAUGCCAAAGAGAAACAUAUUCAUUGGAAGUGAGUGGAGUACAUAGUUACCUACAAUGACUUUGUUCUUACUACAUAUCAAGAGGUCUAAGUUAGCCCUCUACCUCAUAGAUAUUACACUUAAAUGUGCAUGUUUAGACAAAGCGAUGAUAUUCUUGCCUCAGACGUGGAGGUCUUAUUGAUCAUAUUUUCUUAGAUGUUCUGCGUUCCACGCUUUGGGUACCAUGGUAUCAUCCAAACGUUCCCGCUUGUACGUGUUAGGGGGCACCACCUAGGCAACUUGGUAGGGUCCUUCCCAGUUUGCCCAUAAUAUACCCGCGCUCGUGUCUCGAGUGUUGGGCUGGACUUUCCUUAACACGAGGUCUCCGAACCUGAACAUCCUUUCUCGUACCCUUGAGUUAUAGUAUCUUGCGGCCCGUUGUUGGUAUGUCGCCAACUUCAAUUGUGCCCUUUCUCUUCUCGCUUCCAACAUGUCCAAAUCUUCAGCCAAUGCUGCACGAUUAGCCUAGUCAUCAUAUGCUUGUAUGCGAAAGGAGUUGAUUUUCAUUUCUGUUGGAAGAACAGCCUCGCACCCAUAGGUUAAGGCGAAAGGUGUUUCUCCAGUAGUGGAACGGGGCAUGGUCCUGUAGGACCAAAGCACAUUGGGUAGUUCUUCGACCCAAGCUCCUUUCAAAUUUUCCAACUUUGUUUUCAGGUUCCUUUUUAAGAUCUUGUUGAUGGCCUCCACUUUUCCAUUCGCUUGCGGGUGCACUACAGCGGAGAAACUCCUCUUGAUUCCCUUUUCUCUGCAAUAUUCUUCGAAUAACCCUCCUUCAAACUGUGUCCCAUUGUUAGGGAUUAUCUUGUAGGGUACUCCAAACCUGCAGACGAUAAAUUUGUUGACGAAGGUAGUGACUUGCUUAGCCAUUAUGUUGACUAGAGGCUUUGCUUCCACCCAGUUAGUAAAGUAAUUGACUGCUACAACCACGUACUUUGCUCCUCCUCUU